rnacentral:rRNA from 1 species
UGCAGUCGAACGGCAGCACGGGAGUAAUCCUGGUGGCGAGUGGCGAACGGGUGAGUAAUAUAUCGGAACGUGCCCAGUCGUGGGGGAUAACGCAGCGAAAGCUGUGCUAAUACCGCAUACGAUCUCUGGAUGAAAGCGGGGGACUCGCAAGAGCCUCGCGCGAUUGGAGCGGCCGAUAUCAGAUUAGCUAGUUGGUGGGGUAGAGGCCCACCAAGGCGACGAUCUGUAGCUGGUCUGAGAGGACGACCAGCCACACUGGAACUGAGACACGGUCCAGACUCCUACGGGAGGCAGCAGUGGGGAAUUUUGGACAAUGGGCGCAAGCCUGAUCCAGCAAUGCCGCGUGCAGGAUGAAGGCCUUCGGGUUGUAAACUGCUUUUGUACGGAACGAAAAGGUCUGCCUUAAUACGGUGGGCCCAUGACGGUACCGUAAGAAUAAGCACCGGCUAACUACGUGCCAGCAGCCGCGGUAAUACGUAGGGUGCGAGCGUUAAUCGGAAUUACUGGGCGUAAAGCGUGCGCAGGCGGUUAUAUAAGACAGAUGUGAAAUCCCCGGGCUCAACCUGGGACCUGCAUUUGUGACUGUAUAGCUAGAGUACGGUAGAGGGGGAUGGAAUUCCGCGUGUAGCAGUGAAAUGCGUAGAUAUGCGGAGGAACACCGAUGGCGAAGGCAAUCCCCUGGACCUGUACUGACGCUCAUGCA